CUAUACUGCAGUCGAACGGAUGGAUUAUGAGCUUGCUCUUAUGAAGUUAGCAGGCGGACGGGUGAGUAACACGUGGGUAACCUGCCCCUAAAACUGGGAUAACUCCGGGAAACCGGGGCUAAUACCGGAUAACAUUUUGAACCGCGGGUUCGAAAUUGAAAGGCGGCUUCGGCUGUCACUUAUGGAUGGACCCGCGUCGCAUUAUCUAGUUGGUGAGGUAACGGCUCACCAAGGAUACCAUGCGUAUCCGACCUGAGAGGGUGAUCGGCCACACUGGGACUGAGACACGGCCCAGACUCCUACGGGAGGCAGCAGUAGGGAAUCUUCCGCAAUGGACGAAAGUCUGACGGAGCAACGCCGCGUGAGUGAUGAAGGCUUUCGGGUCGUAAAACUCUGUUGUUAGGGAAGAACACUUGCUAGUUGAAUAAGCUGGCACCUUGACAGUACCUAACCACAAAGCCACGGCUAACUACCUGCCAACUACCGCGGAAAUAAGUAUGUGGCAAACUUUAUCCGGAAUUAUUGGGCGUAAACCGCGCGCAAGUGGUUUCUUAAAUCAGAUGUGAACGCCCACGGCUCAGCCGUGGAGGGUCAUUGGAUACUGUGACACUUGAGUGCACAAAAUGAAAGUGGAAUUCCAUGUGUACCGAUGAAUUGCGUAGAGAUAUGGAGGAACACCCGUGUCUAAAGCCACUUUCUGGUCUGUAUCUGACACUGAGGCGCGAACGCGUGGGGAUCAAACACGAGUAGAUACCCUGCUAGUCCACGCCGUACACGAUGAGUGCUAAGUGUUAGAGGGUUUCCGCCCUUUACUGCUGGAUCAUCACCGCAGUAGGCACUCCCCGUGAGGGAGUACAGCUCGCAAGGCUGAAACUCAGAGCACUUGACCGGGAGCCACGCAGAAGCUGUAGUACCAUGUGAUUUAAUUCAAAUCACGCGACUAGCCUUAUCCUGUCUCGACAUCAUCUGACAAGCCCUCGUCAUAGAGGCUUCACCUAUCGGGCAGCANAGUGACACGUCGGUGCAUGCUUGUCAGUCAGCUCGGUGUCGUGCACGAUGAUCGAGU
rnacentral:rRNA from 1 species